GGCUGGGCGCCCGCGGGGGCCGGGGCGCGAGGGCCGCCAGUGGGGCGGCCCGCGGGCCGGCCGCGCGGAGCCGGGCGCCCAGGAGCCCGCACCCCUGGCCGCCCGGCCCACGUGACCGCCCCUCCUCCUGCUUCCCAGUCGCGCGCACGGGCCGGCGUCUCGGCUCCCGCGCGCGCUCGGCGGGUCCCCGUGCCCGGGAGCAGAGGCGGCGGAGGGCGCGGGCCGGCCAGGCGGCGGGAAGGGGGGGCAGCGGGCGCGAGCGGCGGGCUGCCGGGGCUGCCUGUGCACGGCGGCGGUCGCCUGAGCCGCGCGGUUCCGCAUCAUCGGCCGAGUGUGAUGAGGCUGCCCUGCCUCGCUGCUCCGCUUGCCGCCAGCUGACAGCGCCGGCACCCAGCCCGCGCGCGAGGGCAGACGCCGCGGGGCCGUGACCUUGGCCGAGGAGCCAGCCCCGACAUCGCGCAGACCGGUAAUUCCAGUAUCUGAGAGCGGACCAAGUGUGGGGUGACAUGGCCCAGGGGAAUAAUUACGGGCAGACUAGCAACGGGGUGGCAGACGAGUCACCCAACAUGCUGGUGUACAGAAAGAUGGAAGACGUCAUAGCACGCAUGCAAGAUGAAAAAAACGGAAUUCCUAUUCGUACUGUCAAAAGCUUUCUUUCCAAGAUACCUAGCGUCUUCUCUGGGUCAGACAUUGUUCAAUGGUUAAUAAAGAACUUAACUAUAGAAGAUCCAGUGGAGGCACUCCAUUUAGGAACAUUAAUGGCUGCCCAUGGCUACUUCUUUCCAAUCUCGGAUCACGUCCUCACACUCAAAGAUGAUGGCACCUUUUAUCGGUUUCAGACACCCUAUUUUUGGCCAUCAAAUUGUUGGGAGCCGGAAAACACAGACUAUGCGGUUUACCUCUGCAAGAGAACAAUGCAAAACAAGGCGAGGCUAGAAUUGGCAGACUAUGAAGCUGAGAGCCUGGCCAGGCUGCAGAGAGCAUUUGCUCGGAAGUGGGAGUUCAUUUUUAUGCAAGCAGAAGCACAAGCAAAAGUGGACAAGAAGAGAGACAAAAUUGAAAGGAAGAUCCUUGAUAGCCAAGAGAGAGCAUUCUGGGACGUCCACAGACCUGUGCCUGGUUGUGUAAAUACCACUGAAGUGGACAUUAAGAAGUCAUCCAGAAUGAGAAACCCACACAAAACACGGAAGUCUGUCUAUGGUUUACAAAAUGACAUUAGAAGUCACAGUCCUACCCACACACCCACACCAGAAACGAAACCUCCAACAGAAGAUGAGUUACAACAACAGAUUAAAUAUUGGCAAAUACAGUUAGAUAGACAUCGGUUAAAAAUGUCAAAAGUUGCUGAUAGUCUGUUAAGUUACACGGAACAAUAUUUAGAAUAUGACCCGUUUCUUGUGCCACCUGACCCUUCUAACCCAUGGCUGUCUGAUGAUACUACUUUCUGGGAACUCGAAGCAAGCAAAGAACCAAGCCAGCAGAGGGUAAAACGAUGGGGUUUUGGCAUGGAUGAAGCACUGAAAGACCCAGUUGGGAGAGAACAGUUCCUUAAAUUUCUAGAGUCAGAAUUCAGCUCAGAAAAUUUAAGAUUCUGGCUAGCAGUGGAGGACCUGAAGAAAAGGCCUAUUAGAGAAGUCCCUUCCCGAGUUCAGGAAAUAUGGCAAGAAUUUCUGGCUCCAGGAGCCCCCAGUGCCAUUAACUUGGAUUCUAAGAGCUAUGACAAAACCACACAGAAUGUGAAGGAGCCUGGACGAUACACAUUCGAAGAUGCUCAGGAGCACAUUUACAAAUUGAUGAAAAGUGAUUCAUACCCACGUUUUAUAAGAUCCAGUGCCUAUCAAGAGCUUCUACAGGCAAAGAAAAAGGCUAACGGGAGUUUUCAAAGUCCAUGGCCUCUGCAGAUACCCUGUCUUUGCAGGAAGCAGAUACCCUGUCUUUGGAGAUACCUCGUCUUUGCAGACACACUGUCUUUGCAAGUGCCCAGUGCAGCUGCACUAGCCACAUGGGGUUGUUUACAUUUAAAUUUAAAUUAGUUACAAGUACAUAAAAUUCUAGCCAGAGUUCAAGUGCUCAAUGGCCACAGCUUAAGGCUUCUGAAAUAUUGGACAACAUAGAAUGAAGUUCACGUCUUUUCAGAAAGUUCUGUUGGGCACAAGUGCUCUACAGAAUCAAUGUAAUCAAUAGAAAUCUAGUCCUGACAGAACAUUAUGAGGAAAUUCAGAAUAUAUUCCGCGAGAUUUUCAAAUAUGUAGGAUUUACACGUGUCAGCAUAAAACCUUCACAUAUCUACUUCAUUUUAGUGUCAUUUUAUUUUGCUUGAAACCAUACCAUUUUGUUUGCACAGGAAGAGUUUUGGUGUUAAAAAUAAAAGUACUAAUAAAAACAGAGCCUGUGCCCUGUGUCUAGCGUCCAAAUUCUUUGGCAGCUCUUCUACCUUCCUGGUCCCUUGAUUUAGAACAUGGAUUUGCUGUUGCAUCAUUUCAUCAUCCUGUCUUUCUCCGCUCUGUUUUCUUUGCUUUCCUUUUAUCUAUGUUCCCUAGUUCCCUUUGCCCCAUCCCACCCCACUCAUGUAAGUCAGAACACUCAAUGGAUCGCAGAACAUCUUUUGAGAAAUUUGCACAGAAUGUGGUAAGUUUUGUUUUUUUGAGGAAUUACAAAUCAUUAAGUCCAAUUCAGAAAGUUUCCCAAUUUCUAACCCCAUAUCUCACCUUGCAUCCUUUGAUGUAACAACGAAAGUAUUGUCUUUAUUCAAAUUCAGAACUUUGUGCUUUCUGCUUAUCUUUCUGUCCCAACUCUUUCUAGAGUAAAGAUGUCAUCCAUGAAAAACCACACGUAUCAAACUAAGGUUUGGAAAGAAGUGUAUAUAUUAUGACAUAUAAAAUGAAGAAAUGAUAUUUUUUGUAUUUUUAUUUUUAUUCCAUGUAUCCCUUUCAUUCUUAAAGAUAGUGCAUGCGUUUCUACAUGCUCUUUCUCUUAGCCCUUCCUAAAGCUUAAAAGAUAAAGAACAAUAAGGGUUCUGUGCUUUCUACUUCUGCAGGGAGAAAAUGACCUAAUGAGCAGUUUAAAGCCAAAGACUUGGUAUGAAUGGUGGUCGGUGACAAGAUAUGCCCCACCAAAGACCCACCAGCAUGCCUCUCUUAUGCUUUAUUUUUCAGGAAGGUGUUGAAAACUGUUGCAUAAAUCAUCCAGGAAACCAGUAGUUUUCCUACCACUGUUUUCUUAGUAUCUUGCCAUGUGUUUUGGUGAUAUUUUGGUGAUAUAUUUGUUUGUGGGAUUCUUUUUUUUUUUUUUUUUUUUUUUAUUGUGCCAGUGCCUUUGGAACUUUCUGACGUUGUGUGAGCUCAAACUAAAGCCUUCAACACAUUUAUUUUUAUAGGGCAGAAACAUCCCUAUUUUCCCAUGCCAUAAAAACUGUACACCAACACUGAGGGCCAGCACUAACCUGUUAUGAAAAGAGGGGAAAUCUCUCACGUCAAAGAGGUUAACAAGCCUCGUUCAGUCUUACUAAAAGGAUCAUCUUGUAGCAUGGAAGCAGACUGGAGUCUUUGCAUAUACUUUGUAGCUCUUUGUUGUUACCUGGAGCAGAGGACAUUAGACCAAGAUGUUGCAUGAGCAAAGGACCUGAAUUGUUCUCUCUUUGUGUACAUUAAGGCACUGCCAUUUCAAGUGACUCUACCAUCUCAAUGCCUCCAUUUCAAAAUGUUGUCUGCUUACUUUCUCCUUGUACUAAGCUGGAUCUGUGUCUUUUCCUUUUUAACAAGUUCAAGUGAAGUAAACUUUUUUUUUUUUUCCUCUUUCUCUUUCUCUUAAAGCUUUUGCUAGACACACAGUUCACUGAAAAUUCACUCAGUCAAAAACUGGAAGAAUUGUAAAAAAAAACAUAUAUCAAUAAGUAUACAUAUGGCUUCACAUUUAUUAAACAAUAAAUUAGCACAGAAAGUUUCAUUUCACCAAUGUGUUCACAGUCAGAAAAAAGCUCAUGUCUUUGUUGUCUGUACAUUCUCGGUUAAUGUUUCUUGCAUUUAUUUUUAUACCAUAUUUAAAUAAGAAACACCUUUUACUCCAAAUGUAUUAAAGUUGAUCCCUUCUCUGUAAAUUUGUGUAUGUUUAUAUUGUUGUUUUAACUUUCAUUAAAAGAUGCAGAAUCUC